CUCAUCCUCUAGGCUCAUGUUUAACACUUGGAUGGGCUUUCCCUCUUGGUUAAGGACCUCCACGCCCCCGGGCUGAAAAUGGAUUUGGGCUCCUAACUUAGUGAGCAAGUCUCUUCCAAGUAGAGGAUGGGGCAAUCAGGAAGGCUGCAGGGCUUUUGAGCAGCUGCUUUGAGACCUCCCAACAGAGCCUGGUGAUAGACCUGGAACCUCUCCUUACCUUCUGCUGUGUGGAAGUCCCAGUUGGGCCGGGAUGAAGGAAAAGAAGUGCUGAUAGUAUCAUCAUUGGUGGGAUUCAACUGAGGACCUUGCUCUUUCAAGGCAGGUGAGGCACCACUGAGCUAAAUCCCCAGCCCAUGGCCAACUUGAACUACAUAUCAAGAUCCUGUCCCAUAAAACCAACCCCUCCAGAAAAGAAAAACAUUUUUUAAAAGGGCUAGGCAGCAGCAGCAAGAUGGAUUAGUGCCUCUGAGAAGGUGGAGGUGACUUUCCUUUAACCCCGCUUGGCCUUUCCGGGCCAACAGGAGGCGCCCG
ensembl:lncRNA